rnacentral:rRNA from 1 species
UACGUAGGGGGCUAGCGUUGUCCGGAAUCAUUGGGCGUAAAGAGCGUGUAGGCGGCUUGGUAAGUCCGCUGUGAAAGUCCAGGGCUCAACCCUGGAAAGCCAGUGGAAACUGUCAAGCUAGAGUCCGGAAGAGGCGAGUGGAACUCCUGGUGUAGCGGUGAAAUGCACAGAUAUCAGGAAGAACACCAAUGGCGAAGGCAGCUCGCUGGGACGGUACUGACGCUGAGACGCGAAAGCGUGGGGAGCAAACAGG